rnacentral:lncRNA from 1 species
CUCAGGGAGGCCAGCAGCCCGAGGGUGCCCCUGGAGCUACCGGAGCCUGCAGCUGGGGUCAGCCCUGCACAGGUGAGUCGGGAAGGAGGCAGCCGGGCAAAGUGAUAGUCGCCCCAGUGUCAUUCCAGAGGGCGGCGCAUCAGUCCAGGUCAGCCCUGGGAGGGGUAGGGUCAGGAAGCAGAGGUCAUGCCAAGGGACCUCGCCAUGGGCCAUUCUGGUGACACUGCUGCUCAUGCUUAGCCAUUCCUGCAGGUGGAGGUGGCUCAGGCUCCUGCCAGGGAAGGGCUGAUCAGACCUCACCCGGUGCCUUCCUCAGCCCGGCUCUGUCCUGCCCCUGCUAUAGCCAGCCAGGGGAGGCACACUUAGCAGAUCUGGAGGGGGAGGGAGAGUUCAUGUCUCAGGGUCACAGGCCCUGAGUUCUGUGGGGACAGUUCUGGGGCUCCCAGCCCACACGGAGCUGUGCUUGUCCUGGGAGGACAAUGGCUGAGGAUGUCCUGGGCUAUAGCUGGUGGGAACACAUGGCCUGGCAAGCAGUGACCAAGAGAAGAGAGCGGGAUUUCUGGUAAGAGGGUCGGUGCCUCCCCCGGAGGAGCCACUGAGCCCAGAGAGCUGAGGAAGACACUGGGACCUUGCCCGGUGCUGCGUGCUGUGUGGGCCACCAGGAAGGAGCUCAGACCAAAAUGCCAGUGCCCAGGGGCUGCUGGCCAGAGCACUCUGGGUUGGGGUCUGGGCAGUGGUACGUGCCGACCACAGAGCUGAUCUGAGGUUCUUGGGCUUGGUGCCACUGCCAGGGCCUUCUGGCAAGGGUGGUCCAACUUCAGUGGGAGGGAGGUUCAGUGUGUGGGCCUGGCACUUGCUCCCCAGAAAAGGGGUGCAUGUGAUUCAGGAGGGCCAGGCAUCAGCAUCUUGGGAUCCAGCAGACUCCAGCUGCUGCUGCCUGGGCAGUGCCCCCAUCCAUACAGCCGCCUCAGGCUGAGCCCUGCACCCUCCAGGUCCCUGCAGGUGGCGAGAGGCAGGGUGCAGGCCCCCUGCUGCUCCAGGAGCCACUGCUGAGCUGUGUGCCACAUCGCUAUGCCCAGGAGGUGAGCCGGCUCUGCCUGCUGUCUGCGGGCACCUACAGGGUCGUGCCCUCCACCUACUGGCCUGACACCGAGGGCUCCUUCAUGGUGACCAUAGCAACCAGAGUGGACAGGUGCGGCUCUGGGCCUUGGGAUGACCAGCAGGUGUUCUUGGCCCUGAGCACUCAGCAGCCUUCCCCGUCUGGUUCUCUGCUGACCCAAGGCAUGAAUGGGCCUGCUUGCCUGGCUGAGCUGGGAGGAGGGUCUGGUGAGAGGCCAGCCGGGAGCAGGUGGCCCCCGGUGAGCUGCCCUCUCUCCACAGGCGGUCCAUUCACAGCCAGGAGAUGCUGGGCCAGGUCCUCCAGGAGGUGCGUGCAGCCCCUGCCUGCAGCCCCCAGCAGCCUUGCAUCCCAGUGCCUGAGGCCCCUCCCAGCUGCCUCACUCAGUGGCCUCUGCUACCCUGAGUCACAGGGCAGAGCUUGCAGGGACUUGGGGGCUGGGCUGUCAC